ensembl:snRNA Rnu6-806 RNA, U6 small nuclear 806
UUGCUUUGGCAUCACAUGUACAAACAUUGGAACCAUACAGAGAACACUAGCAUGGCCCCCACACAAGAAUAAUAUGCAAAUUAAUUCAUGAAGUGGUCCAUAUUUUU